GACGUAGGGGGCCAGCGUUGUUCGGAAUUACUGGGUGUAAAGGGUUCGUAGGCGGUGCGGCAAGUUGGGGAGUGAAAUCUCUGGGCUUAACCCAGAGGCUGCUUCCAAAACUGCUGUGCUUGAGUGUGGGAGAGGCGCGUGGAAUUGCAGGUGUAGCGGUGAAAUGCGUAGAUAUCUGCAGGAACACCCGUGGCGAAAGCGGCGCGUGGACCACUACUGACGCUGAGGAACGAAAGCUAGGGGAGCAAAACAGG
rnacentral:rRNA from 1 species